GCCAGGGCUGGGGGAGGGUAUGGGAGGGGACGGGCUUCUUUUGGGGAGACAAAGCAUUCUAUACAUAAGAGUGACGUCUGGGACUUCCCUGGUAGUCCAGGGGACCCAGGCUCGAUCCCUGGCCUGGGAAGACCCCACAAGCUGGGAAGUGACUAAGGCCGUGCCCCAGGGCCCUUGCUCUGCAGCUGGAGACACCACGGCAGUGGGAAGCCCGUGCAUUGCAACCGAGAGUAGCAGCUCCCGCUCGCCACAGCUAGAGAAAGCCCGCACACAGCAAACGAGACCCAGGGCAGCCAGAGACUUGCACAGAUUAAUAAUUUUAGAAAGUGAUGGUCGCACAACUCUGAACGCAUGACAACCCACUGAACUGUGUCCUGUUAGAAAUGAAUUUUAUAAGAAACUUACAAGGAGAAAAAUUGAGUCCCCCCUGCUCCAAAUCACCAAGCCCAGCAAGUGGUCCCCCUUGGCUGUUCCGGUUUCUAGCGGAGAGACGGGGAGCCGGGGCAGCUGGCCCUCCCCUCAUGCCCCCAGAAGCCCCCAGGCUCCCAGAAGCUGACAGCCAAGACCCCCACGUGCUCCCCGCACAGCUGCAGGUGGUGCUGGGGCGGGAGGGGUGCAGGACGCCCGAACCUCCCUGCCAGGGCUGUGCUCAGGCUUUUGCCAUCCUAAGCCUGGCUCCUCCAGGUCCGUGGGGAAAGGUCUAGGCAGCAGCAGCGAGGGACACCAGGCACGUCCUCAGCAGCUCUGUGACCCCAGGCUCCUUACGUGACCUCGUGGGGCCUCAGCCUUCCGCGCCCUGCACACUGGGCCACCGCCAGGCUGCCAGCCCAUUCUACAGACAGGGGAACGGCACAGCAGAGCUGGGGUGACUCCAUGAGAAAAAAAACGGGGACGAGGCCCGGGGACGUGGCCUGGAGGAGGCUCAGCUCUUCAAAGCAAAAUCCCCACUGGAGUUGCCCAGAUGGAGCGUCGCAUGUCGAGCUCAUCACCAUAGCUUUAAACGCACAGGCUUGGCUUGUGGCCCCACGAGCCAGAAACGAGGGUGCGGUGCCCAGCACGCACAGGGGAACUACACCGACCCCGAGCUCCCCAGGCCCCAGGAUUCCUCNNNNNNNNNNNNNNNNNNNNNNNNNNNNNNNNNNNNNNNNNNNNNNNNNNNNNNNNNNNNNNNNNNNNNNNNNNNNNNNNNNNNNNNNNNNNNNNNNNNAUUCCUCAUCCGGGUGACGGGGACGCCUCCCCCCAGCCAGCAGCGGACGCUGUGCUCCGGAGACAGCCUGAGCAUGGACACGCGUGGCCUGCCCAGCCCCGCCCCGUCCCGUCCCUCUGUCACAAAGUCCUCGGGCACGCUUCCCAGGGCGUCACGCAAACACCUGGACCACAGCAGAGGGCAGCGGGCCCCCCGCAGCACAGUGUUCCCGGCCAGCGAGGCCCAACAGCCUCUGGCAUGUGGGCUACCCACUGGCCCACCAUCCAAGCUGGACGCUGGGGCCAGCAGAGAGGAGACAAAGGCCACUGAGGCCAGGCUUGCCCCGCAUCCAGGGCCCCCGCAGGAGCCUCGUCCUCUGCAGACGGCGGGGUGUGUGGGGGUAGUGUCACCCCAGGACGGGCCCAGCUGCCCAGCGUGGACACAGAUGUUGGCUUAAGCCCUGACACCCGGUCGGGGGUGACUCAGCCAGAGGGACCUGGCGUCUCCUGCUGACAGCUGUCCGUGGAGGCCGUGCCGGCCCCGUCUCUCUGCCUCCUGGAACGUGACGGAAGGUGAUACCAGAGCAAGGAGCCGCCAUGCAAACUCUGCCUGGGGGGCCUCCUCGUCCACUCAGAAGAGAUCCCAGUUCAGGGCUGGAGCCACUGUCCCCACUCCUCGCCCGGGUGGACACCAGCCGCGAGGCGAUCCCCUGGCAAAGCAGAAACCUACCCAAAGGCCUGGGCUCCUGGGCCCACAGCCACCUGCCCCGGGAUCCAGUCUACCCCACUCCCUCCUCUGCCCAGCGACCACGUGAGCAGAAAAGGGGUGCAGACAAGUCGGAGUCAGAUAGCAGCAGGCCCCCGCCGCACCCCUGUCACAGCAAGCGUCCACCCUGCUGAGCUGGAGACCCCCAGAGUCGAUACAGACAGACACAUGUUCUCUGGGUGCCCAGAGGGCCUUGGAACACACAACACCAAGCCCUGGACAUUCCGGGCGAGGCAGACAGCAGGCAGAAGCACCCAGGGUCCCUGCUUCCUCUGCCCGGGAGGUGGAAUCCCUGCCCCGCCCAGCAGGGCACCUACAGGGUAUGGAAUCCGUAGCGGCCCAGGCCUCCCAGCAGCUCUGAGGCAAACUGCCUGCCACCCACUUGUGUAGCUGGCGGCCUCUGACCUGGACUAACACAGGCUGACAGCCAUCCUGGAAGGGCCCGGAGCCAGGGCUGUAUGCACGGGAAGGCUGACACUCAGAGAGGGCCAGCGUUUGCCAAAAGCCACAGAGCACGUCAUUGCCCCAGUGACAGGAGGAGCCAGGGCUCCAGACCCCUGGGGGAUGCCUGUCACACUACAAGACCCCUGCCUAGGGGCCGGGGGUUGGGGGAUGGCACCGGUGGGUGAGCCAUGCCAACUUGGGACACACGCCUCCUGGGAAGAGGCCCUGGAGCAGGCUGGGGGCUCUAAAAGGAGCAUCGCACCUGCAAACCCCAACCCCACGCCCACUACUGUUGGCGGAGGGCCCCCUCGGCGGCUCCUGGAACAAAGAAGUCAGCAGAUAGCCCAGAGAGCGGGGUUCAGCAGCCAGGAAAGCGUGUCCCCGCCGCGAAGCAGCAGGAGGAGGAAGACCAGGCAGUGUGGACGCUCGGUGUGUGAGCCCGUGGGCAGACGGCCGGCCGGAAGGCCCUGCGCCCAGAGCCCCGGGGACCGGGCAGGACUGUGC
ensembl:lncRNA